rnacentral:rRNA from 1 species
UGGGGAAUAUUGGACAAUGGGCGCAAGCCUGAUCCAGCCAUGCCGCGUGAGUGAUGAAGGCCUUAGGGUUGUAAAGCUCUUUCGCCGGUGAAGAUAAUGACGGUAACCGGAGAAGAAGCCCCGGCUAACUUCGUGCCAGCAGCCGCGGUAAUACGAAGGGGGCUAGCGUUGCUCGGAAUCACUGGGCGUAAAGCGCACGUAGGCGGAUCGUUAAGUCAGGGGUGAAAUCCUGGAGCUCAACUCCAGAACUGCCCUUGAUACUGGCGAUCUCGAGUUCGAGAGAGGUUGGUGGAACUCCGAAUGUAGAGGUGAAAUUCGUAGAUAUUCGGAAGAACACCAGUGGCGAAGGCGGCCAACUGGCUCGAUACUGACGCUGAGGUGCGAAAGCGUGGGGAGCAAAACAGGAUUAGAUACCCUGGUAGUCCACGCCGUAAAACGAUGGAUGCUAGCCGUUGGGGGGUUUACCUCUCAGUGGCGCAGCUAACGCCUUAAGCAUCCCGCCUGGGGAGUACGGUCGCAAGAUUAAAACUCAAAUGAAUUGACGGGGUCAUAGCUGUUUCCU